rnacentral:misc_RNA from 1 species
AGAUCUCUAAAGUAGCACAAGGACAGUCUCAAAUAUAAGGUGCCUCAUAUACGUUUCAUUUCGUUCUCGAUUUUGAUGAAGUUUAGUGUAGGAAUAAAUAAGAAAUGUGGGGGUGGUGGUGGCAGCACAGGCAACAGGUUAGUAGGGGAGGGGACGGUGGGAGUGUGGUGAAGGAAAGGUGAUGACAUGAUGAUGGUGGUAUAGUGGCCAUCACAGUGGUGGGAGGAAAUUGGUAUAAAAGUAGCUAUAACUAUAAAAUUUUAAUGAAUGUUUAAUACAUCAAACCAAAUCUCAUCUGUUUAUUAAUGGAUUUAGUGAUUUGUAAUCCAUUUAAUACUCAUUUAAAAUAUAAAAUCCUUAUUCAUAACCUACACCAUUUUUAUAAAGGGUGGAUGUAGACUGCCAAAUGACUUUGGAUGAACUUUGCCACGUCUAGUCUAAACUCAUCAAUCUAAUUUGGUGGGGGAAGAUUUUCUAUCAGCAACAGUUUAUGUAAAAUUCAUUUUAACCAAUCUCAUGAGCUACA